rnacentral:rRNA from 1 species
GUCCUUGGCCAUGCUACCCUGAACAAGCCCCAUCCUGUCUGAUCUCGGAAGCUAAGCAUAGUCGGGCCUGGUUUGUACUUGGAUGGGAGACCACCUAGAAUGACCAGGUGCUGUAGUCA